rnacentral:rRNA from 1 species
ACGAACGCUGGCGGCGUGCUUCACACAUGCAAGUCGAACGGUGAACGAGGGAGCUUGCUCCCUCCGGAUCAGUGGCGAACGGGUGAGUAACACGUGAGCAAUCUGCCCCGAACUCUGGGAUAAGCGUUGGAAACGACGUCUAAUACCGGAUACGACGCGGGAGGGCAUCCUCUCCGCGUGGAAAGAACUUCGGUUCGGGAUGAGCUCGCGGCCUAUCAGCUUGUUGGUGAGGUAACGGCUCACCAAGGCGACGACGGGUAGCCGGCCUGAGAGGGUGACCGGCCACACUGGGACUGAGACACGGCCCAGACUCCUACGGGAGGCAGCAGUGGGGAAUAUUGCACAAUGGGCGCAAGCCUGAUGCAGCAACGCCGCGUGAGGGACGACGGCCUUCGGGUUGUAAACCUCUUUUAGCAGGGAAGAAGCGAAAGUGACGGUACCUGCAGAAAAAGCACCGGCUAACUACGUG